UUUUUUUUUUCUUGGUUUAUCUUUAGUUUACAAGAAACAGGAGUGGAGUAAAGUAGGUUCUUGAUUUUUGUUUGGUACUUUGGUUUCUCGUUUUCAAACGUACGUUUUUAUCUUUCCUCUUCUGCUUUGUUUGGUUUCCAAGAAAGUGAUCUAGGUUUAAUAUGCACUGUGUUUUCUUUCUUUUUCUCAGUGUUUGUUUGGUUUUAAUGAAACAAGAAUGAAGUACAGUGUGUUCUUGAUUUCUGAUUGGUUCCCAAGAAAGUGAAGGAAAAUGAUAUGUCUUGUUAUCAUUUUUUUUUCUGCAUGCCAGAACGAUUAAUAAAAAUGAUAUAUAGAAGGGUUUCACAACUAAGCUCCUUGUUAUUUUGGUUGGUGUCUUCUGAAAAUUAUCUAAAAUUGUCUCCAAAAUAGCUGAGGUGGAAGGCAUGGUUGUGAUUGCUUUCAGAAAGGUCUGACUCAUGAAAAUUUUAGUCAUAUCCUUGUGCAGUAUGUUGCUAAGUUUCUGAUUGGAGUAUGCAUAAAGCCCUUACAUUGAUUUUGGUAAAUCAUAAAGAUACUUGUGAUAUUUCUUUGUCCUUAUGUUGCAGUGAAUUUUUUAUUCAUAUAGAUGUCACAAUACACUUUGUAAACUAAUCAUUCAUUAGGUCAGCUGUUGUAUAUAGUCUUUUGUCUUUGUUUUGAUUUUGAGAAUCAUAUUAUGUUGAUCCACAAGCAGCAGCGAAAAGUCUAGGUUGACUUCCAACCCAUGCAUGUUGUAGGCUUGUAGAAUAUAGUCUAUGUUUUCAUGUUGGCAUAUCGACUUGCUCACUCGCAUAACAAAGUUGCUGCCACCAUAUUUAUUUAUUAAACUACCCACCAGAUCCUAUGUUAUAGAGAAAUUUCUGGUUGUUCCAGUGAUGCUUUUUCCCUUUAUCAUCAAGUGCGCUUGACUAUGAACAAAUGUAAAGUUAUUCAAGACCGCUGUAGAAAUUUGAUCAUAGAAAUAUGUUGAUGCAGGCAAAGAAUAACCUUCAGCUUUGAUAGGUUUAGAAAUCAUUUACUUGGAUAGCGACAUAACUCAUAAGCAUCUUGUCAGGGCUCUCUUUGCUGAAAUGAACAGCUUGAGAGGGGGAAAAAGAUUCGAAGUCUGGGUGUUGGAAAUUUAAGGCUUUCCUAUAAAGUAAUGCUUCAAGAUGGAGGCAAGAGACUUGGUUGUAGAUAUAUACAUGAGCAACUUAAUUUAAGUUUAUGUAUAUUGUCUUAUAGUGUGUUUUUAAUUUCGUUGUAUAUUAUAUGAGUUUCUUCUAUAUAGAGAAAUUGGGGACAACUUUAAACAAGUUCUUUGAUUUGUGCUUUAAUUAAUAAUCAAAUGUAUAUUAAAUAUGUUUUGAUUA